ensembl:lncRNA
CCCUGCUCUGUCUCCUCCUGUCUGGUACAGGUACCCCCGCCACACUACGCCCUCUCUCCCUGCUCUGUCUCCUCCUGUCUGUUACAGGUACCCCCGCCACACUACGCCCUCUCUCCCUGCUCUGUCUCCCCCUGUCUGUUACAGGUACCCCCGCCACACUACGCCCUCUCUCCCUGCUCUGUCUCCUCCUGUCUGGUACAGGUACCCCCGCCACACUACGCCCUCUCUCCCUGCUCUGUCUCCUCCUGUCUGGUACAGGUACCCCCGCCACACUACGCCCUCUCUCCCUGCUCUGUCUCCUCCUGUCUGGUACAGGUACCCCCGCCACACUACGCCCUCUCUCCCUGCUCUGU